GGGAAUCUUCCGCAAUGGACGAAAGUCUGACGGAGCAACGCCGCGUGAGUGAUGAAGGUUUUCGGAUCGUAAAACUCUGUUGUUAGGGAAGAACAAGUAUCGUUCGAAUAGGGCGGUACCUUGACGGUACCUAACCAGAAAGCCACGGCUAACUACGUGCCAGCAGCCGCGGUAAUACGUAGGUGGCAAGCGUUGUCCGGAAUUAUUGGGCGUAAAGCGCGCGCAGGCGGUUUCUUAAGUCUGAUGUGAAAGCCCACGGCUCAACCGUGGAGGGUCAUUGGAAACUGGGAGACUUGAGUGCAGAAGAGAAGAGCGGAAUUCCACGUGUAGCGGUGAAAUGCGUAGAGAUGUGGAGGAACACCAGUGGCGAAGGCGGCUCUUUGGUCUGUAACUGACGCUGAGGCGCGAAAGCGUGGGGAGCG
rnacentral:rRNA from 1 species